CCUACGGGAGGCAGCAGUGAGGAAUAUUGGGCAAUGGACGCAAGUCUGAACCAGCCAUGCCGCGUGCAGGAAGACGGCUCUCUGAGCUGUAAACUGCUUUUGUACGAGGGUAAAUCCCGAUACGUGUAUCGGGUUGAAAGUAUCGUACGAAUAAAGAUCGGCUAACUCAGUGCCAGCAGCCGCGGUAAGACGGAGGAUUCGAGCGUUAUCCGGAUUUAUUGGGUUUAACGGGUGCGUAGGCUGUUGGAUAAGUUAGAGGUCAAAUGUCGGGGCUUAACCCCGUGCCUGCCUCUGAUACUGUGCGACUAGAGAGCGGAUGCAGCAGGCGGAAUGAGUAGUGUAGCGGUGAAAUGCUUAGAUAUUACUCAGAACACCGAUUGCGCAGGCAGCUUGCUAAUCCGCAUCUGACGCUGAUGCACGAAAGCGUGGGUAGCGAACAGGAUUAGAUACCCUUGUAGUC
rnacentral:rRNA from 1 species